rnacentral:lncRNA from 1 species
GGGGGGAGCUCCGCUUACCACCGCACCCAGGGUAGAGGGGGACUCCCACCUCCAGGGGAAGCCACCCCUCAAACCUUGGUGUGUGUGUGUGUGUGGAGCUCCACAUACCACCGCACCCAGGGUAGAGGGGAACUCCGCCCUAGGGGGGUAGACCCCUCUAACCUGGGUGUCCAGGGGAGCACCGCAUACUACCUCACCCAGGCUAGAGGGGGACACCUCCCUUUGGUGGGGCUUUCCCCUAGAACCUGGGUGUUCGGGGGAGCUCCACAUAGCACCGCAACCAGGCUGGAGGGGGACUCCCCUCUCCAAGGUGGGCCACCCCUCAAACCUGGGUGUCAGGGGGAGCUCCACACACCACGGGACCCAGGGUAGAGGGGGACUCCCUCUUCUGGGGAGGAGACACCUCGAACCUGGGUUUCAGGGGGAGUUCCGCAUACCACCGCACCAGGGCAGAGGGGGACUCCAGCCUCCAGGUGGAGACCCCUUGAACCUGGGUAUUCAGGGGUGUCCCGCAUACCACCGCACCCAGGGCAGAGAGGAAUCCCCCCUAUGGGGGGCAAUGCCUUCAACCUAGGUUUCAGGGGAGCUCCACAUACUACCACAUUCAGGGCAUAGGGGAUUCCCCCUACCAAGGGAGGGGGGGGGCGAGGCCUCGAACCUGGGUGUCAAGGGGAGCUCUGCAUACCACCACACCCAGAG